CGAGCCACUGCCUGUUCACCCUGCUAUCAUCCAGAAGGCGAGGAGCAGUAACUGUGUGGGUCUCUCGGCCUCACCCCUCUCGGCCCUCAACACCCCGGAACCUGUCCGUUACUCCCUGAUCCCUGACCUCCCAUUGGACAGCAGCCUGAUGUUUGAGUUCCUGCUCGUCCUCUACCUGCUGUUCAUUCAGUACAUCACUAUCUAAAGGACCGUGUGGUGGUAUCCUUACAAUCAUCCUGCAGCCUCCAUGUCUCUGGCUUGCCGGAGACACAGCCCUGGAUAAAAACAUACAUGAGUCUGUCAGCGCCCAGAUCAAGAACUUUACCAAGAGCAAAUGGAUGCAAGUGUUUAAUGCCACAGCAGUGGUCCGUCACAUGAGGCGUCUCUAGCUGGGACCAUGUCAGGAGGCUCUGAGCUAGACCACCCUAGAAGCCAUCUACAGGGGCUGAGGAGGAACACACAGAGUCUCCCGUUGAAGGGGGCUGCUCCCAGAGUGCGAACCUGUGGGACAGAACGAGACCCCCUGGCCAACUGUACCUCCAGGAGACCUACAGCACCCGCUGCCAUCCAACCAGCUGCAUCUGAUCCCCCGGCCACCUGGAGUGUGGCCAACCAAUGACUUUCCCACGAUUUACCUGUGGAGUCCAGAGAAACUUCCCAGUCUGGCCCGGAACACAGAGUUGUUGUUCCAGCGCCCCGCCACCAGAUGGGGCAGGCAUGUUAAGAACCCAGGGUGGGGAGGAGGGAAGAGGGACUCCCUGAUGCCAUUGCCAACAGAGGAGGUAUCUUGACCUAGAUUGGGGUGAGAGUGGAGGAUGAGCUGAGAGAGGAGGCGAGCUUAAGGAGAGGUGUUGUACCCAGUGUAUUCCUGGGUGAUAUUAGUUUGGGAGUGGGACAGAGCUUGGACAGUGUUCCGGGCCAGACUGGGAAGUUUCUCAUGCUUUUAAAAAAUGUACGUCUGCUUUUUUUCAUCUCUGUAUUUCUAUAUAUGCUGUUUUUUUCCAUUGUCAUUAUCCUUCCCCCUUGACAACGUAUAGAGGAUUGAUCCGCUGUUACCUGCAUGAUCAGAGGACAGGCAGACAGGUCCUCAUGCAUGUUGACUGGCAACAGGUGUUUUUAUAGCAUAAGGAGUCUACUGCAGAACUAUGUGUAUGUGGGACCACCCAUUGUGGAUAGUUUCUGUACAGCAGAUAUUGUAGCUAAUACCUCACAAGAGAUGGACUUACAUGCAAAGCCGUUCCUCUAAAAACUAAGAAUAGGUCUCAGUUAACCCACAGUUUUACUCCCUGGUGUUUAAACCACAUUCUAACCUGAAAGGGCAAUAUGAUCCUGUUGAUAAAGACUAUUUUGGGGGAGAGUUUCAGCCUGGCUUUGAACUGGUCAAAACUUAAUCCAUUUAAGUUAUUAAGACCAUGGAAGAUGUAAUGAGCUCAGCCCUCUUGCUUAAGAGCAGGGAAUCGAUGUGUGUGGAUACAAAGCCAAAUGUGGAUAUGUUUUUCACUGUGUAGAUGCAACCAACUAUCAUUGGAUCACCCUUCCAUGGAUCUUUUCUUCAUUCAUAUUGGGGUUGUUUUUUCAACCAAUUGUAUGUGUACAGAGAUAACUUGAAUUAAAGAAUGUAAAUAACAAUCCAA